GGUUUCCACAUACUUCAUCUAGCUUG
rnacentral:piRNA from 1 species